rnacentral:lncRNA from 1 species
UGGAAAGUUGGAGACUGUCCCGUGAGGGAGUGAAAUUUAUUUAGAGCCCAUCCUCCAUCCUAUCAAAGAUUUGAAAGGGACACAGAAGACAAGAGGGAUAUGAUGAACCCAGCCUAAUUCCAUUUUAAGAUUGGGAUCCACAAUCUUAAAUCCAGGUCAUGAAAUGUUGAUUUCUGUUUUACUAUAAAAUACUAAGAUUUCUAUUUGGCCUGACCACAUUUUGAUAUUUUAAACUUGCUUGGAACUCUUGCCCAUGCUUUGAACUUACCCAGGCCUGGCUCUCCCUGACCAGAUAACAACUCUCCCUGAAAUCUCAGCUGCUCCUCAUUAACUUUGGUUUUUGAUUCUGAGCUCACUCCCUACCUUGAGAUGUUAAAUCAUAUAGAUCAUUAACCUGCUAUCUGCUCUUACAUUAGUCUUGCCAGAACCCUGUCAGCUGUGAGCUCCCAAGACACCCACCUUUGUAACUUUUGUGUUAUAAAAACCUCCUUGAUCUUGGGCCAGAUGCUGUCUGUCCCUGCAUUUGUGUGGGGCAGUUUCUGAUCAGGUCUCUUGUGUACACAAUAUAAGCUUGCUGCAAUUUGGUUUAAAAAGAGAGAGAGAGUGUGUUUGUGAACAUAACCCCCCAGGCCAGCUCCACUU